rnacentral:rRNA from 1 species
CAGUCGCCGCGGGAAUACGUAGGGUGCAAGCGUUAAUCGGAAUUACUGGGCGUAAAGCGUGCGCAGGCGGUUAUAUAAGACAGAUGUGAAAUCCCCGGGCUCAACCUGGGAACUGCAUUUGUGACUGUAUAGCUAGAGUACGGCAGAGGGGGAUGGAAUUCCGCGUGUAGCAGUGAAAUGCGUAGAUAUGCGGAGGAACACCGAUGGCGAAGGCAAUCCCCUGGGCCUGUACUGACGCUCAUGCACGAAAGCGUGGGGAGCAAACAGGAUUAGAUACCCCCGUAGUCUCUGUCUCUUAUAC